GGGGGGGGGAAGAAGCUGCCAAUCCUGCUGGCGCCAGGGGCGAUCGGGGCAACGCGUCCCGGAGCGGGGGGCGCCAGCAGUGCCCCCUCUGGUCGAGGUGAGGCCGCACCAGGGUGCGCAGCGGGCUGGACGCCGCCACCUGCCGAGAUGCCAAACCGAGCUGCUCCACAACUUGUUGUGUAGACUGCAUGUCUGAAUCUCAGGAAUAGACAUAUUUUCUCUGCAAGGGAGCUCAAACUAAAGCAGCUUACUGCAUCAAGUCUGAACUGGAGUGCAUGAUCACUGCACAAGGCAGCUUCAGAAUUACCCAUUUUAUGUCACAUUUCAAAUGAAGCUCAAUUACAGUUGCUGGGAUAGAACUGGGCGUAGGAGAGCUACCCAAGUGAUCCAUGUCCGUGUGUGGCUACAGACAAGGAACAAUAUUUAGCAGCUCCAACUGUGCAAGCUUCUCUCUCUCUUUUUUAAAAAAAACUGUCAUGCUACAGGUUAAUAUGCUCGGUUUAAACUACUCUUUUCUUGUCAUAAUUACUUUUGCAAUGACAAAGGGCAAUUUAACAUUUAUGAGUGCUUCUAUUAGGUCACUGUUGUUCGAUUGAAAAAAGACUAUUACAAAAUUCUUGGUGUUCCUAAGGAUGCAUCGCAGGAUGACAUCAAGGAGGCUUUUCAUUCUGUAAAUAUCAUUACAGUUCAGAAUAUCUUGAGAUAUUUGUGGUUUUCUUAUGAUUUAUUAACAUCGUUGAUUUUCCAUCCCAUGGAAUGUUACUUUUCUAAUUUUGUCCUGGUGAUCAAAGUUGAUCCACCUUCAACUGCUACUGGCCAUACUAUUGCAAUUCUUAGUGAAGUGAAAGCUGCUAGGAAUCAGAUGAGUUCUAUUUUAGUCACAGUAUAAUCUAUUGCCUCUUUCUUUCAUGUGCUUUGUAACUUAUUAUUCAACUGCACAAGCAGUAGCACAGCUGCAUUAUUCUCUGCACAAUUUUGCACUGAAGUAACCUGGACACAGUUUCACAUGCAUUGACUGUGUACAUGGUUCAUAUAUAUAUGCAUAUAAAUUACCUCACAAUUAAUGGCUUUCGUAUUUUUGGUUUGUGAAUAUUAUAUACCUUCUUACUUGUUAUUUAUCAGUGCCAGAACAACACAGGGGCUGGCACUUCCGUAUUGCAUCUCCGUCUCCAUGCCUUUUGCUUGGUUCUGCUGAUUGGCUGCCCAGAACAUGAGGGUGCCCCUGCUCGGACGGUGACAGAGCAGGAAGGUGCCGGCGCCGGCGCCACGCAGUGCUGGCCGACCAGCGCCCGCGCGCGUGGUGGAGUGCCUUAGCCACCGCGCCCGCACCAAGGGGGGUGUGAAGGUUGCGGCUGCAUGGUGGAGCGGCUUGGCCGCCAAGCCCGUGCUGCAAGGGGACGUGCCGCCUUCGCCGGGAGGGAGCUUGCCUGCGGUGGCCUUGACGGCGAAGGCAAUGGAGGGGUCAUAGAGCAGGAUGAGGCCGAACUGCCGGAGAGGUCGCGAGGGGCUCGGGCAGGCGCUCGCGCCAGGCCAGGUUGUGACAUAUGUUAUGACAUAUUUUGUAUUCUAUAAAAUUAUUAUUUAUUAUUGUAUUUUAAAAACAUAUGCGUGUCGCACAUGCACUCUACUAGUCAUAUGAAAUGUUCUCUUUUUAUCCUA